ensembl:lncRNA
GAGCCGCGGACCGAGAGAGAUCCUUUGCUGAUGGUGGAAAAGUUAACGCGACAGUAGCAGCCUUUUGUGGAGAAAUUCGGAGAUUUGAUAUUGAGAGAUUGAAGGCUGUGAACCCUCGUGAGCUGGAAUUCCCCUUGCUGCGCGUGGGCUUAGCAUGCUCGCCAUUUCCCAUCGCUUCACCUGCUCCAACCUGGUCAUCUGCUCCUCCGUCUGGAUCUUGCUUCAGCAAACACCACCAUCCUCCAGAGACCACUCACCCUGGACCACUGCUGUUACAGCACUACAGCCCUGGUGAGGAUUGCUGAAGUUAACUUGCAGAUGGAGUAAACGUAAACCCUAGAAGAUGCGUUUGACGCUAUCUUUGGGGGCACUUGAAGGCCAUGGUGUAUCAGGUGAAGAUAGUGAUACUGACCAGCACAGCUCUUCCCUUUCUGAUGGGAAGACCCAAAAUCUAUGGUGUCCAGGACUAAUUUAAUGCUAGCAAUUGCUUCCCCGCUGUAACAAAUCACAGUGUUUACAGGAAGCAUUCAGCUGUGGUUGAGUCUUCCACACUGGAUAUACAGACUUAAGGAGGAGGAGAUGCACGUCAUGGGAUCUAUUGUAAAUGGGAGAAUUGCAAGGUUUAUUCCAUAGCAUACUCCAAAUUUACAUCAAAUCUGCACAUCAAAAUCCAAGCAGAGAUUUUCUCCUUGUCUCCACAUCAGUUCAGUCCAAGCUCUUGUGAGACGCAUCGAUCGUGCUCCCGCUGACUUCCACCCUGUCAGCUACACUCCCUGGAGAGAUUUUUUCCCUCCGGAGCUCUAUCACAGUCAGCUGGAGACAAAACAAGCUUAAAUCAGACACCAAAUUCCACUGCCACUGGGGAAUUUAUCCUGCAACACAGGAAGUAAGACCUCUCUACUCGAGUUGAAGUGGGGCCAACGACAAGUCAAGCUGGGAUCAUCUCCCAGAAGGUUUUAGUGAACUGCAGAGAUAUCUGGGUGUCUGGGAUGGAACUGUUUUAAAUUCUGUUAUAUAUAGAUUAUGUUUGAAUAGCAUUUCAGUGACACGCAUUUGGCAGUUUUGUAAACUAACCUGGAAAACAAUUUUGGGUUGAAAAUCUGAGGAUGAUAG